rnacentral:rRNA from 1 species
GUGAGGAAUAUUGGUCAAUGGACGCAAGUCUGAACCAGCCAUGCCGCGUGCAGGAAGAAGGUUCUAUGGAUUGUAAACUGCUUUUGUACAGGAAGAAAUUAUCCCUCGUGAGGGAGCUUGACAGUACUGUAAGAAUAAGGAUCGGCUAACUCCGUGCCAGCAGCCGCGGUAAUACGGAGGAUCCAAGCGUUAUCCGGAAUCAUUGGGUUGAAAGGGUCCGUAGGCGGAUUAGUAAGUCAGCGGUGAAAGUUUGCAGCUUAACUGUAAAAUUGCCAUUGAUACUGCUAGUCUUGAAUGUGUGUGAAGUAGCUAGAAUAUGUAGUGUAGCGGUGAAAUGCUUAGAUAUUACAUGGAAUACCAAUUGCGAAGGCAGGUUACUAACAAAUGAUUGACGCUGAUGGACGAAAGCGUGGGUAGCGAACAGGAUUAGAAACCCUGGUAGUCC